CGGAGAGGGCGCCUGAGAUGGAUUCUGAGACACUAAUCCAGGCCCUACGGGGCGCAGCAGGCGCGAACACUUCGCAAUGGGGGAAACCCCGACGAGGGAACUCCAAGUGCCAGCACUUUGUGUUGGCUGUUUAUAUUCCUAAAAAGAAUGUAGAGUAAGGGCUGGGUAAGACGGGUGCCAGCCGCCGCGGUAAUACCCGCAGCCCGAGUGGUGGUCACUUUUAUUGGGCCUAAAACGUUCGUAGCCGGUUUGGUAAAUCUUUGGGUAAAUCGGGUGGCUUAACCAUUCGAAUUCCAAAGAGACUGCCAGACUAGGGACUGGGUGAGGUCAGAGGUACUUUUGGGGUAGGGGUGAAAUCCUUUAAUCCUAAAAGGACCACCAGUGGCGAAGGCGUCAGACUAACACAGCUCCGACGGUGAGGAACGAAACCCUGGGGCGCAAACGGGAUUAGAUACCCCGGUAGUCCAGGGCGUAAACGCUGUGGGCUUGGUGUUGGAUGUCCUAUGGGGGCAUUCAGUGCCGGAGAGAAGUUGUUAAGCCUACUGCCUGGGGAAUACGGUCGCAAGGCUGAAACUUAAAGGAAUUGGCGGGGGAGCACAGCAACGGGUGGAGCGUGCGGUUUAAUUGGAUUCAACGCCGGAAAACUCACCGGAGGUGACUGCCACAUGAGAGUCAGGCUAAAGACUUUACUCGAUUAAUAGGUAGAGAGGUGGUGCAUGGCCGUCGUCAGUUCGUACUGUAAAGCGUUCUGUUAAGUCAGAUAACGAACGAAACCCCUGCUGCUAGUUGCUACUCAUCUCC
rnacentral:rRNA from 1 species